AGGCUGGCUGUAAACAGCUUCCGAUGCUAACAGGGUUGAGGACAAGGAGGGGACAGAAAAUAGAAAUUGCCAUAUCAUUCUCUUUAGAGUCUUGACCAAUAGCUUGAGGAGAACAUUUAGAACCAUGGUCGGGAUGCUUCCGGACCAAGGUGCUUGAGACAGCUGGAGGAGGGAAGGGACACAGUUGGAGCUGGAAGGCAGGUGUCUGCCGGUGAGAUGGUGUCUGGUAGUUCUGAAGUAGAGAAUGCCAGCGGGCAACCUGUUCCUGACAGGGUCAGCAAAGCUGUGCUUCCUCCUCUGAUGGGUUUGUAAGCCUGGCAGAGAGAAGAAAGCGAGGAGAAGGAAUGCUGGUUCCUCUGCCAGCCAGCUCUGUUUAUGAAAUUCCUGAUUGUCUCCAGAAACGAGAGGAAAGCUAAGUGCUUGGGGGUUUCUCUGUGUAGCCCCGAUUGUCCUGGAACUCACUCUAUAGACCAUGAACUCAGAGAUCUACCUGCUUCUGUCUCUUGGGAAUAAAGGCUGGCAAUGCUGUCCACACCAUCAACACCUCUACCUCCACCACCACCUGGCCAUUUUCUUAAUAAAAAGAUUUAGGUAGAAUAAACAAUUGCUUGUUGACCCAUGUGUUUCAGCAUUCUGUCCGCCCAAGUUCCGCUUCCCAGUUGGUAGCUGUGACUUAAGCACCAUGAUACCAACAGACACCUCUGACCCUGGCUGAGCCCCAGGUUCUGGCUUCCCCACCAAGUUGGACCGAAAUCUCUUGAAACCACCGCAAUCUCUGUCAAGAUGUGUGUGCCCGAGUCUCUCCACUUCCAAAAUGGAAACAGCAAGGAGCUUGGAACCAGCAAAGAAUAAACAUCUUAAGAAGACUGCACAGCUCAGCUUGGAACUGCUGGAGAAAGGCAGCCUUUAAGCCUGUGUGUUUUCUUCUUGACGUUCGGUUUUGUGGCAACAAGGAAGCCCUGUAUGUGUAUGGUGUAUGGUGGUCUGGGCCACCUUUCUCCUCUCUGGUGUGGUAGAUCUUCAAGGACAAAGAAGGCUUAACUCAAAGUGACUUCAACAAUGAGAAAAAGCUUCCUAUUCCCCACAAAAGGAACCCAGGCAGCCUUAAGGCUGUGAAAAGGGUCAGAAGCUAAGGGCUGAAGCUCCCUGGAAGAAGGUGUUGUGUCCUGAUAGCACCGAUCAUGCCCCACUGACUCAAGCAUUCCUGGGUCUUGCUCCUUCAUUAGAUGGUGAGCACUCUCAGGGCUGUGUGUCAAGACCUGACGGUUCUAGCCCACGGUCUUCACAUUGCGGACUCUCUGCUGCUCGCUGUUGCCACCGUGAAUUCUGCUACGCUUUUCUGCUGUGAUGGACUGAAGCUGCCCUGACAGUGAUCACAAUAAAUCUCUCCUCUCUCAAGUUAUUUCUGCCAGAUGAACGUGGAAAGGAACACUUUUGAUAAGCAACAAGACACAGAUAGCCUAUCAGAUGUGGGAAUGAAGUGCGGAAAACCCAAAAUCAUUUAGCAAAUGGAUUGAAGCUAGCCAGAAUUUCACCAGUCCAGGGAGAGCACAAAGGGGAGUUAGCCUCUGCCGAACCAAGCUGCCUUGCUGAAGGCUCUGCCUGUCUCUGAGGAAGCCAGGGUAAAAGGCCUGUCUCCUAUCUCAUUAGGGAUGCUCUGAAGGAGCAGUAUUUCCUGAGAGCUGGUGAGGUGGCGAUACAUUCUGCUGUUGCCACGGACGUUCAGCCUCCAAGAUGGAUGCAGUUUUGUACUACUACUGUAGGAUCUGACGGAAAAUAAUGAAUGAUUAAUAAAUGAACAGAUGGAAGAUACCUCAUGAACUUAAAUCCUGUAAUUGCAAGAGGGGUAAAAAUCGGCCUCCACCCUAACAAAUACACGAGAUUAUGCCUCUUCCUUGUGUCGACUUCGCUUUCCAUCUGUGAACUGGGAAAGGUGACCAGUAGGCUGCAUGCUCUAAAGAUGCUAAAGAUGUAGCACAUGCCCAGCCCCCAUGGUCCCAGCCUGUCACCAGGCCAUUCUGCUGCUACCAGAAACUUGCUGUUUAGGACUUCCAUCUGCAGGCAAGUGGGGCCAUGGGAUCUGCUAACAUGCAGAAGGAAGAUAGCAGCUCUUUGUGAACUCUCGGGCCUGCUGCACAAUAAGCCAGAACAACACAGAGACAAGAUGCUUUGGAACGUCUGGGAGUCUCUGCUGUCUUAUUACAUACAAGGACCCUGGCAUUUCCUGCUAAUUCAAAGGAAGAGAAGAAAAUUAGUGCCUGUUCUGGUGAAACUGGAGCCAAAAAUGGAUUUUUUUUGGAUCACACAUCUCCUGUCUCCUGCUGCCGGUGAUGAAGCUGCCAGCCCCACGCCAGUGGGCGGAAAUAGAUACCAGCCCUGGAGGAAGUACUGACUGCUUAUGGGCGCCUGCCACCCUCCCUGCUUCCUCCUCUUCGUGUGGAAGGAAACCGUGGGCUUUCCUGGGCAUUUUUUCUUAUUCUCUUAAUACAGGGGAACUGAAGCAUUUGGCUUUGGUUGUUUGGAUAGUGAAUCUCAGCUUGGAGGGCUUUCCAGAAAGCAGGCGGCUCCGGUCUCUGAACUCUAACUCCGUUUCUCCACCCCCCUUCCGGUGCUGUGCAGUUCUUUCCAAUUCCUGAAUUGACAUGUACAGUACUAGAAAACCUGCAGAGAGCGCCUGGAGGUCACAGCCUGCAUGAGCUUUCAAGCUGGAGAGGGCUAAGUGGAAGGAAGACACUGCACCCCUGGGAUUUCCUCCUGCAAAUGAGAUGAAAUCUAUAUAAAUGUACUCUUUCCCGUCUCAUACCUUUUAUUCGAUUUGCAUACCACGGAUCCGAUGACAACUCUCUUGAAAAGUGCUCCUUUGACUGUUUCAGCCACAGCGGUUCAUGCAAAGAAACUAAAUCUUGGAAAGGAAGGGGCUAACCCCUCCCCAUGCUUGUGCUCAGGAACCACAUGAUGACCAUGACAGACCAUGACCAGGACAUCGGUGGGUGCAAAAAGAAGAAACAAGAGCACAGGGAGGAAGGAAGAGCUGGGUGGCAUGGGGUGGGGUGGGGUGGGGGGAGGAUUGCAACUAGGCAUGAUCUUGCUUCAGGGCAUGGAGCCCAGAAAGCCCAAGACCAGAGGGCUAUGCCUAGAGCGAAGCAUAUUUUUCAGCAGUGCUCCCCCCAUUUGGGGGACAUAUUCUAGGAUGGAAGUAGAAAGAUUGUAAUGGAAUGUGGCACGUGAGCUCAUUUGUGAAAAACAAAACAAAAUAAAACAAAAAACCAAAACAG
rnacentral:lncRNA from 1 species